GGAGUUAGCCGGUGCUUCUUCUGUGAGUGAUGUCCUUCCUGCCGGCUAUUAACCCGCAGGCCUUCUUCCUCACUGAAAGUGCUUUACAACCCGAAGGCCUUCUUCACACACGCGGCAUGGCUGGAUCAGGGUUGCCCCCAUUGUCCAAUAUUCCCCACUGCUGCCUCCCGUAGGAGUCUGGGCCGUGUCUCAGUCCCAGUGUGGCUGAUCAUCCUCUCAGACCAGCUACGGAUCGUCGCCUUGGUGAGCCGUUACCUCACCAACCAGCUAAUCCGACAUAGGCUCAUCCGAUAGCGCGAGGCCCGAAGGUCCCCCGCUUUCCCCCGUAGGGCGUAUGCGGUAUUAGCCUGGGUUUCCCCAGGUUAUCCCCCACUACCGGGCAGAUUCCUAUGCAUUACUCACCCGUCCGCCGCUCGCCACCAGGGAGCAAGCUCCCCGUGCUGCCGCUCGACUUGCAUGUGUUAGGCCUGCCGCCAGCGUUCAAUCUGAGCCAGGAUCAAAACUCUGA
rnacentral:rRNA from 1 species